AUUGAACGCUGGCGGCAGGCCUAACACAUGCAAGUCGAGCGGAGCGGCGGACGGGUGAGUAAUGCCUAGGAAUCUGCCUUGUAGUUGGGGAUAACGUCCGGAAACGGGCGCUAAUACCGCAUACUAUCAGAUGAGCCUAGGUCGGAGUAGCUAGUUUGUAGGGUAACGGCCUACCAAGGCGACGAUCCGUAACCGGUCUGAGAGGAUGAUCAGUCAGACUGGAAAUGAGACACGGUCCAGACUCCUACGGGAGGCAGCAGUGGGGAAUAUUGGAAAAGGGGCGAAAGCCUGAUCCAGCAAUGCCGCGUGUGUGAAGAAGGUCUUCGGAUUGUAAAGCACUGUAAGUUGGGAGGCGUUACCAACAGAGUAAGCACCGGCUAACUUCGUGCCAGCAGCCGCGGUAAUAC
rnacentral:rRNA from 1 species